rnacentral:tRNA from 1 species
GAUCUGGUGGCUCAGAUGGUAAAGCAUCUGCCUGCAAUGCAGGAGACCUGGGUUCGACCCCUGGGUUG